rnacentral:rRNA from 1 species
UGUACACGCUGUGACUAGCAUAUCAAUAAGCGGAGGAAAAGAAACUAACAAGGAUUCCCCUAGUAACGGCGAGUGAAGCGGGAAGAGCUCAAAUUUGAAAUCUUAAAGGGUUUCCCUUUACGAAUUGUAGUUUAAAGAAGUGUUUUCUGUUGAGGUUUUGGUAAAAGUUCUUUGGAAUAGGACAUCAUAGAGGGUGAGAAUCCCGUAUUUGACCUUUACUUUCAACUUUGUGAUACACUUUCAAAGAGUCGGAUUGUUUGGGAAUGCAGUCCAAAAUGGGUGGUAAAUUUCAUCUAAAGCUAAAUAUUGGCGAGAGACCGAUAGCGAACAAGUACCGUGAGGGAAAGAUGAAAAGAACUUUGAAAAGAGAGUUAAACAGUACGUGAAAUUGUCAAAAGGGAGGCGUUUGACACCAGUGUUGUUUUCUGAAAAUCAAUUAAAGAACUGUUUAUGCUAAGCUGUUUAGACUUUAUCAGCUAUCUGUUUAGUUUUGAGCUUUUCUUUAAUGCACUUUUCAGUUAACAAGUCAACAUCAAUUUCUUUUGCUGUAAAAAAGCUUGAGGAAGGUGGCUUGAGAUUCGUCUUAAGUGUUUAUAGCCUCUUGCCUAUGCAGUCGGAGAGAUUGAGGUCUGCAGCGUAGAUCCUUCGGGGCUAAAUGCAUUUGUGCGAAGUUAUAGCAUUUUAUAGACAACUUGUUGACUAUGAUUUGUCUUGUAGCUUACUCGCUUAUGUUAUUUUACCUACGCUUAGGAUGUUGACUGAUAUGUAGUCGUA